rnacentral:rRNA from 1 species
AUGAACGCUGGCGGCGUGCCUAAUACAUGCAAGUCGAGCGAACGGACGAGAAGCUUGCUUCUCUGAUGUUAGCGGCGGACGGGUGAGUAACACGUGGAUAACCUCCCUAUAAGACUGGGAUAACUUCGGGAAACCGGAGCUAAUACCGGAUAAUAUUUUGAACCGCAUGGUUCAAAAGUGAAAGACGGUCUUGCUGUCACUUAUAGAUGGAUCCGCGCUGCAUUAGUUAGUUGGUAAGGUAACGGCUUACCAAGGCAACGAUGCAUAGCCGACCUGAGAGGCUGAUAGGCCACACUAGAACUGAGACACGGUCCAGACUACUACGGGAGGCAGCAGUCGGGAAUCUUACGCAAUGGGCGAAAGCCUGACGGAGCAACGCCACGUGAGUGAUGAAGGUCUUCGGAUCGUAAAGCUCUGUUAUUAGGGAAGAACAUAUGUGUAAGUAAAUGUGCACAUCUUGACGGUACCUAAUCAGAAAGCCACGGCUAACUACGUG